rnacentral:rRNA from 1 species
UACGUAGGGCGCAAGCGUUGUCCGGAAUCAUUGGGCGUAAAGAGCUCGUAGGUGGUUUGUCGCGUUGUUCGUGAAAACUCACAGCUUAACUGUGGGCGUGCGGGCGAUACGGGCAGACUAGAGUACUGCAGGGGAGACUGGAAUUCCUGGUGUAGCGGUGGAAUGCGCAGAUAUCAGGAGGAACACCGGUGGCGAAGGCGGGUCUCUGGGCAGUAACUGACGCUGAGGAGCGAAAGCGUGGGGAGCGAACAGG